rnacentral:misc_RNA from 1 species
GGUAAAGCCACAUUUAGAGGCUACGUUAACAAUAAGAAGAACCUUCCCACUAUAAGUACUCAGACUCACAUCAUUCCCGUUUAUAUCCUUGACAGUGACAUCAUAGAUGGACUUGGGCAGCUCCUCCCCCAUUUCUUGCUGGUUUGUGAAAAAGAAGAUCAACAGAGCAAGAGCUAGAAACAGAGCAGCUGAAGCACAGCCUUGGAUCCUUUGCAUACAAUGCAGGAGAAGGG